ACAUCAUAACACAAUGACAUCCGAUUUUUGUUUUUAACUGCACUGCUAAAUAAAAAUGUAAUAUAUUCAAAAAUGUUUUAUUCAAUUUUCGGCUGGGAUGGGGUUGGAUAACAUCGAUAUAAAACAUACUCCAGCUUACUAACAAACUAACCCCCCAGAGUGGUUUCUGUAACCUCGCGGCCGGCUGUGAAGACCUCUAGUGAGACCGGAACCAACAUUUAUGUUCUCGCUGGACACGAAAACAGUUUCUAGUCUCGUGGCACGCGAGAAUUGUUCUAGGCUUUCAGGAUAAUCACUGUGCAGAGCAGUCCAGAGAGUGCUGAAGUAAGCGCUGUAACAGCUCCCGGUCAACAGACGGUAACAGCGGAUGCUGACAAUGGGGUCAACCUGUAUAUUCUUGCUGGACACGAGGCUAUGCAGCUUUAAUUUAAAGUACAGCAUUAAUAUAUUCAUGAGAUGUUAGGGAAACUGCAGAUGUCUUAUGUAUUAUUAUUUCCAUUAAAACAGCGGAUUCCUUAAGGUUAGCUGAUUUAUUGAAAUCAGCUGAUUUCUUGAUCACCUGAUUCCUUCAUCAGCUGAUUUAUCAAGAUCAGCUGAUUCCUUCAUCAGCGGUUCUUUUGAAACCAGCUGAUCCCUUGAGAUUUCUCGUUUAACAGCGAUCUUGGGAAUAAUUUAAUUUCACUCUGUUCUCUUUACUCUCUUGGCUAGCUGCCGCUUUGAUAAUUCACAUCUCUCAUAAUCUAUAAAUCCAAGAUUAUCCUUGUGAAACAUCACAUUGUUCACGGUCGUCUUAGUUCCGGCAAAUAUAUGAACAAUUAAAGAUCGUCUUUUCCAUGAUUAAAGUGAUAACUAAAUAAAUCCUAUUAUACAUUCCUGCUCACCCUUCAACAACGUGGUAUAUAUUUUCAUGAACUGUCACUUUUUUCACAAUGGGUUUCUGAUGGUUAUUAUCAAAGAAUUUGAUAUUAGUAUCUCAAAAUGACUCAAUUACUUUCCACCUUUUAUUCUGUUUUCAACGAUAAAAUGAUAGAUGUAGCAUGUAUUUUUGAUCUGAAACGCUUCAUGCCACAAUCUAUGAAUGUUAAAUCACUUAAAAUGACGGCUUCACUUUCAGUCCCGUUUAAGAGAGCAGGAUUAAUAUUGAUUGCAUGCGGUUUAGUUCUAGUACCAUGUGAAUGAGGCCGGAUUUUUUAGUUUCUACAAUUUUUACAAUGUUUACCUAAUACCCAUGUGCCUAUGAAAACCCUAUUUAUACAACUGUUUCCUUGUGGAUCCAAGUUUCUAUUUUGUCAUUUUAUUUUUACCCCGAGUGUCCCAGCUAAGCUUGGGUAUCGUUUUUACAUCCUUUUUUGUCUUUGAAAAGAUGUUGGCUUCUUUAAUAGUGAUUGAAACAAAAGCUUUUUUUAUUAUCAGCUAAUGUUGAUUUCUCUCUAGGGACUUCCACUGAAACUAAGAUGAACCACUAAUCUUGAUCGCUGGGUUAAGCUGAAGAGAAGUGGUUCAACUCAGUCUCAGAUUUGGUCCUGUCAAGAUAAAUUAAUUUCGAGGCAUAGCAUUACUUUGCUUCAGUUUUCUAGCACAAAAUAGGUUUUACAUUCUAGCGGAGGAAAAAUAAUGUUAAUCUGUAAACGAUAUCCAACCUCAGUUGGACACAGCUUAUCUUGUCCCUCAACACAAAUUUCUCGCUGAGACUUCGUUGAUAAUACCGUAUUAUUAAGGGAUAAUGUUCCCUGGGGUUCUAUUCCCCCCCCCCUCUGUAUUUUAUCAUGUCUCGGUUGCUUUUUACCCCCUUUUAAGGGAGUUCAAUUGGCUUUGUUUUUUUUUUAGAAAGGGGGCUUCAAAUAAUUAAAUUCGACCUAAAGGCGCUUAGUUGGAAUAUACAUCAUGUAACUCUGCAAUCCUUAUUGUGUUCUUAAUAUAGUAUAAAUAUAUAUAAAUAUCCUAAGUUGUUGUAACCUUUGUUAUAUCAAAUAUAUACAUUAAAAAAGAAAA
rnacentral:lncRNA from 1 species